CUGGACUCCACUUCCCAGAAUUCCCCGGUUCAACUGCUUGAGCCAAAGGGUCCGCCACUCCAUGAAGUUGAUGGACUACAGUUCCCAGAAUUCACUCGUCCACCCGCCUGAGCCAACUUGCCCGCGACUCAGAGUGUGUCUGGACUCCACUUCCUCCAAUGCCAAAAGAAAAUGUCUAUAAUCUCAUUCUUCAGCGGGAAGCGUUGGACUUCGCGGUGGUCUUUGACUACACACACCGCAAUGCCCACCGAGAUCGUAUCCCAUAUCUCUGAGCGCCUGGUGGGGAAUGUGGACUGUGACCCUGACUGGAUGAAAUGUAUCAUCAGCAUGGAUUCUGUGAUAAAUUACAAGAUACAAACUCAAAGGGAACUGCUUUCUAUGUGCCUCAUAUUUUAAUGUUUCUCCCCUUUGUGAAUGCUUAGGUGAGACUGUAGUCAUGAAAACUGAGUAAAGACUUUAUUACACACAUUACUGAGGCUUCUCUCCAAUGUGGACAUUCGGAAGUUGAAGACUUGAGGCCUGAAUGAAGCACAUACCACCCUCCUCAUACUUCCAUAGUUUCUCUCCCGUGUGGAGCUUCUGAAGCAUAAUAAAAUUCAAGUGAUCCAGCAAUUCUACUACUGGGUAUAUCCAAAUGAAAGGAAAUUAGUAUGUUGAGGAGAUAACUGCACUCCCAGGUUCAUUGUAGCACUACUCACAAUAGCCAAGAUAUCGAAUCCACCUACGUGUCUAUCAAUACAUGAAUGAAGAAAAGGUGGCAUAUAUACACAAUGGAAUCCUCUUUAGACAUAACAAGGAAACAAAAUUUUAUCAUUUGUGGCAACAUGGAUCAGUUUUCAAAGACACUGUUAAUAUAAGCCAAGCAAAGAAAGAGAAAUACUGACUGUCGUCACUCAUAUGGAAGUCAAAAAAAGUUGAUUUUGUAGUAGAGAGUAGAACAGUGGAUGUAGACAGGCAAAGAAGUGUAGGAGGUAGGUGAGAUGGCCAAAGGUUGGCUAACAGAUACAAAAGAGGUAGAGGGGAAGAAUAAGUUCUACUGUUCUGCAGCACUAAAGGUGACUAUCAUCAACGAUUAUUUACAAAUUGCUAAAAAUAUGUUGUAGUCUCACAAAUGCACCACACUGUAGCAGUCUCUCUUGUGAUGUAUCACCCAGAGUUCUUAAUCUCACGUCCAAUAUGAUUAAGAAGCACAGACACAAGGGUCAAAUUGAAGUAAAAGUUUAAUAAGUGAAAGAAAAAAGCUCUCCACAGUGGAGAUGGGGAUCCAAAUAAGUUGCCCAGUAUGAGACUGGGGUCCAGGGUUUUUAUGGACUGGAAAGGGGAAGGAAUGCACUUAGCCUGUGGGCUGUCUUGCAGAAAGCAUGAUUCAGCUUGGUCUGGGACCUUGGCCCAGGACCAAUCAGGAGCUGAAGUGAUGAUUCAUAAGGGCUAUUCAGCUUGGCCCGGGACCAAUCAGGAGCUGAAGUGAUUAUUCGUAAGGGCUAUUCAGCUUGGCCUGGGACCAAUCAGGAGUUGAAGUGAUUAUUUAUAGAGGCUGGGCUUUUCCUUUUUCACAAAAGAAAGUGCCAACCUGAACCUACUGAAGCCCACUGUGUUCAUGCCCACAAAGAAGAAACUUUUUCCUGGGAGCCUGCUGCUAUACAAAGGACAAAGGCAUUUCUGUGUCAGGUCUUCUUCCCUUAACUGAGUGAGCCGGAGGUUUGUGCGAGUUGUUGCCGGAAUGGGCUGGAGGUUCUUCUAUCCGUGCAGCCAUGGGCAUGUCUCCAGGCACAAUCCCUUGUGCUAGUUCCCUUAUCAGUGCCUGUAGCUUGAUUUUCUUCCCCAGGCUGCUUUUUAUGUUAUACGGGGAUGAGGCGCUGACCCGUGCGGCGGGGGCUCUCCAGGGACCCUUUCCUUGCUGUCUACUAAUUCCUCUCAAAUGGAUUUUGAAUUUUCCCACACAAAGAAAUGGUAAAUAUCUGAGGUGAUAUACCAAUUACACUGAUUUGAUCACUAUAAAUUAUAUGCACACAUUAAAAUAUCACUUUGUACCCCAUAAAUAUGAAUAAUUAUGUGUCAUUUAGAAAUAAUGAUAAAAGUAUAUCCAGAUUCAAGCGCCUCUUGUAGCGUUUCCCACAGUCCUCACAUUUGGAUGGGUUUUCCCCACUAUAGUCUCUCGGCUGGUCUUUACGGUAUGUCCCGUGUACAAGCCUCUUUCCACAGUCCUCACAUUUGAAGGGUUUCUUCCGGCAGUGGAGUCUCUUAUGAUUCAAAAUACUUGAGGCCCGGCUAAAGCUCUUCCCACAUUCCUUACAAUUAUAAGGUCUCUCUCCCGUGUGGACCCUCUGGUGCAAGUCAAGAUUAAACUUAGUAACGUAGCCCUUCCCACACUCCUCACAUUUAUACGGCUUUUCUCCAUUGUGGGAUCUCUGAUGGGAAGACAGUUGUGAAUUUGUAUAAAAUCCCUUCCCACAUUCUUCACAUUUGAAGAGUUUUUUUCCACUGUGGACUCGCUGAUGGUUCAAAAGGCACGAGGACCAUCUGAAGCUCUUCCCACAUUCUUUACAAUUAUAUGGUUUCUCGCCUGUGUGGACCACCUGAUGCUUAUAAAAAUCUAGCCUACCAAUGAAGCCUUUUCCACACUGCUCACAUCUGUACGGUUUCUCUCCUGUGUGGACCAUGCAAUGCCUAUUAAGUGCUGAUCUCUGAUGAAAGCUCUUAUCACAUGUAUCACACCUAAACGGUUUUUCUCCUGUGUGAACCAUGGAAUGGCUCUUAAGUCUUGACCUAAAAUGGAAGCUCUUACCACAUAUGUCACAUUUGAAUGGUUUCUCCCCAGUAUGGAGUCUCUUAUGUUCCUUAAGCUGGGAAUCAUGAAUGAAGGCCUUCCCACAUGCCUCACAAAUGUAAGGUUUCUCUCCUGUGUGUAAUUUAUGAUGAACAUUAAGUGCUGAUCUACGACUGAAACCUUUACCACAUUGCUCACAUUUGAAUGGUUUCUCUCCAGUGUGGACUCUCUGAUGAGUUUGCAGAUGUGAGCUUUGACUAAAUUCCUUGCCACACACAUCACACAUAAAGGGCUUCUCUCCCACGUGGACUCUCUGAUGAACAUGAAGAGCUGAGAUGUAACAGAUGCUUUUUCCACACUCAUCACACGUAUGAGACUUCUCUCCUGAGUAUAACUGCUGAGGAAGAUCAAAGAUGGAAACAUCACUGAAGGACUGUUUACACUUCCCACCCUGGGAAGGUUUUUGUCCUGUGUGAAUUGUGGGUAGUCCUGCUUCAACCUGGGAGGGGACAUCACCAUUUUCAAAGAACUGAGAGUUAUUUAUGAUAGAAUCCUGAGACCUGGUUAAGUCUUUGGCAAUUUGUUCCCAGAUUUGCUGGCAGGACCACUCUUCAUGUGCUCCUGCUUCUGGAACAGACUCCAACUCAGUUUGGAUCUUGCCUCCUAUAAAGACACAGAUUUAAGAGAUGUGUACAGGUGAAGCCUUUAUUCAGUGCUCUCAAGGUUUCACACUUAGGACAUGACAUUAAACUUUAAUGAAUACAGAGAAUGUUCAGUUUGUGUUUUCCAAGUACACCCUGAUUUCUGGUUUGCAUGAGGCCAAUUCAGAACCACAUCAUGUCUCACAUGUAAAAUCCUUGAUAGAAAUAAUAGACUUAAUUUAAAAAUAUGAUAUACAUUUAACUUGUUACUAUUUGUAAUGAAUUUCCUAGUCAGUCCAAAAUCUUAUGUGAUAAAUUACGAAAAUAAAAAUUUAUGUACAUAAUGAAA